UGGGGAAUAUUGCACAAUGGGCGCAAGCCUGAUGCAGCCAUGCCGCGUGUAUGAAGAAGGCCUUCGGGUUGUAAAGUACUUUCAGCGGGGAGGAAGGGAGUAAAGUUAAUACCUUUGCUCAUUGACGUUACCCGCAGAAGAAGCACCGGCUAACUCCGUGCCAGCAGCCGCGAUAAUACGGAGGGUGCAAGCGUUAAUCGGAAUUACUGGGCGUAAAGCGCACGCAGGCGGUUUGUUAAGUCAGAUGUGAAAUCCUCGGGCUCAACCUGGGAACUGCAUCUGAUACUGGCAAGCUUGAGUCUCGUAGAGGGGGGUAGAAUUCCAGGUGUAGCGGUGAAAUGCGUAGAGAUCUGGAGGAAUACCGGUGGCGAAGGCGGCCCCCUGGACGAAGACUGACGCUCAGGUGCGAAAGCGUGGGGAGCAAACAGG
rnacentral:rRNA from 1 species